rnacentral:rRNA from 1 species
GUCACACUAUCAUUAACUGAAUCCAUAGGUUAAUGAGGCGAACCGGGGGAACUGAAACAUCUAAGUACCCCGAGGAAAAGAAAUCAACCGAGAUUCCCCCAGUAGCGGCGAGCGAACGGGGAGGAGCCCAGAGCCUGAAUCAGCAUGUGUGUUAGUGGAAGCGUCUGGAAAGGCGCGCGAUACAGGGUGACAGCCCCGUACACAAAAGCGCAUGUGCUGUGAGCUCGAUGAGUAGGGCGGGACACGUGGUAUCCUGUCUGAAUAUGGGGGGACCAUCCUCCAAGGCUAAAUACUCCUGACUGACCGAUAGUGAACCAGUACCGUGAGGGAAAGGCGAAAAGAACCCCGGCGAGGGGAGUGAAAAAGAACCUGAAACCGUGUACGUACAAGCAGUGGGAGCACAGGUUUACCUGUGUGACUGCGUACCUUUUGUAUAAUGGGUCAGCGACUUAUAUUCUGUAGCAAGGU